rnacentral:rRNA from 1 species
CCUACGGGUGGCUGCAGUGGGGAAUAUUGGACAAUGGGCGCAAGCCUGAUCCAGCCACGCCGCGUGAGUGAUGAAGGCCUUCGGGUCGUAAAGCUCUGUGGGGAGGGACGAACCGCCGUUGGUGCAUAGCCAACGGCAUGACGGUACCUCCUUAGCAAGCACCGGCUAACUUCGUGCCAGCAGCCGCGGUAAUACGAAGGGUGCAAACGUUGCUCGGAAUUAUUGGGCGUAAAGCGCACGUAGGCGGCUCUGUAAGUCGGAUGUGAAAUCCCUCGGCUCAACCAAGGAAGUGCAUUCGAAACUGCGGAGCUUGAGUAGUUAAGAGGAUCGCGGAAUUCCCGGUGUAGAGGUGAAAUUCGUAGAUAUCGGGAGGAACACCAGUGGCGAAGGCGGCGAUCUGGGAACAUACUGACGCUGAGGUGCGAAAGCGUGGGGAGCAA